AGCCCCCCGGGGCCUGGGGCAAAUUGCCCCUGCCUCUGGGCGGCCCUGACAAUUUGUACUGAAUGUGUUAGCUUUUAAGAAAUUGUACACAGGAAGUGCCAUACUGGAUCAGACUCCUGCUCCACCUAGUAUACUAUCUCAGAGACCAGCACUUUUAGAGCAUUGUAAGGCAUGCCGUGUACCAAACAGAAGAGAUCGAAGUCUUCUUUGUAUGAUUUAAGUGAUCAGAUCUGGUAUCUCCCGUACAGUCAAUGCCGGAGC